AAGGUGCCGGUGCCCUGCUGCAGCCUCAGGCAGCGCUGCCCAGUGCCAGAGGAAGAUGAAGGUUGCUGUGCUCGGCGUGGCCCUGCUCUUCUCCAUGCUGCUGUGCACCCCGGCACAGGCCAAGGCACUCCUGGAAGGAACCCAGGAUGAUCUGGAUGAGCUGGACUUGGGCAAGGUCGAGAUCCCGGAGCCGACCGUGGACGUGCUGGGAAAAGACCUGAGGCUGCGCCGGCUCCUGCGGCAGAAGCGCCUGGCGGCCUCUCUGGAUGCCUAGGGUCGGCAGCGUCGGUGCCGUCCGUGUCCUGUCCUCCUCCGGCGGCACGAGGAGAUGAUCGUCCCUGGAGGAGCCCCCCGAUCCCCUUUGAGCCCGGGGCCAUUUCCCCUCAAUAAUCAAUAAACCCUUUCAGCAGAGCUGCCCUCUCUGUCUGUCUGUCCCUCGGGGUGAGUCUGUCCGUGUGUCCGGGUUUCUGCUCUCCUGCCAUGUGGGGCGGCUCGCCUGGGGCUCUGCUCCCUUCCUGCCGGG